AGUCUGACCUGCCCUAUGAUAAAAAUUAUAUUAAAUGGCCGCGAUAUUUUGAUCGUGCAAAGGUAGCAUAAUAAUUAGUUUUUUAAUUGAGAACUAGUAUGAAAGGUUGAACGAGAAAAAAACUGUCUCAAUUUAAUUUUUAUUAGAAUUUUAUUUUUAAGUAAAAAAGCUUAAAUAAUUUUAAAAGACGAGAAGACCCUAUAGAGUUUUAUAUUUAAUAUAAGAUUUUUUAGUUUAAGAAUUUAAUUUUAAAAAUUUAUAUAAAAUAUUUAGUUGGGGUGAUUGAAAAAUUAAAUAAACUUUUUUUAAAUUUUUUUACAUUAAUAAGUGAAUAGAUGAUCCAUUAUUUAUGAUUAAAAGAUUAAAUUACCUUAGGGAUAACAGCGUAAUUUUUUUUGAGAGUUCUUAUCGAAAAAAAAGUUUGCGACCUCGAUGUUGGAUUAAAUUAAAUUUUUGGUGUAGAAGCUAAAAUGUUAGGUCUGUUCGACCUUUAAAAUUUUACGUGAUCUGAGUUCAGACCGGNNNAAGCCGAAUUC
rnacentral:rRNA from 1 species